AAAGAGAAAGCAAAAGCCACAGAAAGAGAAAGAGAGAGUUCGUAUGGAAAACCCAAAAAAGAGAAAAUAGAUAAAUAAAUAUUUACUGAAGAUUAAAACAAAAGCAAAAGAGGCAAAAACACAAACAUUGCUUUCGUCUUUCAGUUUCGUUUCCAUCUUGUGUUUUGUGUUCAUAAAAAUAAAAACCCACCUCGUUUUCGUUUUUUUUAUUUUUUAUUCCAUCGCUUCGUGAUUAUCCUCAUCACCAUCAGUUUCAGUUAAGAAAGGAUUCUUUUUAACCGCCAUGGCCAUUUUGAACCAACACUUUCUUCUCUUCUUGUUUUGUUUAUGUUCUUUUUCUGGAGUUUAUCUCUCUUAUGAGCCUCGUAACCAUGAAGUGGAGGCGUUGGUGAGUAUAAAGAGAGGCUUGAAUGACCCACAUGGAGUGUUGAGCAACUGGGAUGAAGACUCAGUGGAUCCUUGUAGUUGGGCUAUGAUCACUUGUUCUUCGGAAAAUCUUGUUGUUGGCCUUGGAGCUCCAAGCCAGUCUUUGUCUGGAACUUUAUCAGGAACAAUUGGGAACCUCACUAAUCUUCGCCAAGUAUUGUUGCAGAACAAUAACAUAUCAGGUGAUAUCCCUCCUGAGCUUGGAGCUCUUCAGAAACUUCAAACUUUGGAUCUCUCUAACAACAGGUUCUCUGGUGUAAUCCCAAGCUCUCUUGGUCAACUGAAUAGUCUGCAAUAUUUAAGGCUGAACAACAAUAGCUUGACGGGACCUUUUCCUGUGUCUUUAGCCAAAAUUUCUCAGCUUGCUUUCCUGGAUUUGUCUUAUAACAAUCUCAGUGGACCAGUUCCCAAGUUCCCAGCUAGAACAUUCAAUGUUGUGGGGAACCCAUUAAUUUGUGGAAGCAGCUCCACUGAUGUUUGCUCUGGAUCACUCAAUAGUGUUCCUCCUUCCUUCCCUCUAAAUGCUUCACCUGGGAAACACAAUUCCAAGAAAUUAGCAAUUGGUCUUGGUGUUAGCCUAAGUGUUGUGUGCCUCAUACUUAUUGCUCUUGCACUCCUUUGGCACAGAAAGAGACAGAAGAACCUAAUUAUCCUUAACAUUGGUGACAAACCAGAAGAGGGUCUAAUAGGCCUUGGUAAUCUGAGAAGCUUCACUUUCAGAGAGCUACAACUAGCCACAGACAACUUCAGCUCUAAGAACAUACUUGGUGCCGGUGGAUUUGGCAAUGUUUAUAAGGGAAAACUGGGAGAUGGGACUAUGUUGGCGGUGAAACGGUUGAAGGAUGUGGCUGGAACUUUUGGGGAAUCUCAGUUUAGGACUGAAUUAGAGAUGAUCAGCCUGGCUGUUCAUCGGAACUUACUUCGGUUAAUUGGAUAUUGUGUCACCCCUAAUGAGAGGCUUUUGGUGUAUCCUUACAUGUCUAAUGGCAGCGUGGCUUCCAGGCUCAGAGCAAAACCAGCUCUAGACUGGAAUACUAGGAAGAGGAUAGCCAUUGGAGCUGCAAGGGGUCUGCUGUAUCUACAUGAGCAAUGCGAUCCAAAGAUAAUUCACAGAGAUGUGAAGGCUGCUAAUGUACUUCUGGAUGACUUUUGUGAGGCUGUUGUUGGUGACUUUGGCCUGGCAAAGCUACUUGACCACGCUGAUUCUCAUGUUACUACUGCUGUCCGUGGCACGGUUGGGCACAUCGCACCUGAGUACCUCUCCACUGGUCAGUCAUCUGAGAAAACUGAUGUAUUUGGAUUUGGCAUUCUCUUGUUAGAGCUCAUUACUGGGAUGAGAGCUCUAGAGUUUGGCAAGACAACUAAUCAGAAAGGAGCCAUGCUCGAGUGGGUGAAGAAAAUUCACCAGGAAAAGCAAGUAGAAGUAUUGGUGGACCGGGAGCUAGGAAGCAACUAUGACCGCAUUGAGGUAGGGGAGAUCCUACAAGUGGCAUUGCUGUGCACACAGUACCUUCCCGCCCACCGCCCGAAAAUGUCAGAUGUUGUCCGCAUGCUCGAAGGCGAUGGUCUAGCCGAAAAAUGGGCAGCAUCACAUAAUCAUACGAAUCCCACAAUGAACCUUUUCCAUGGCAACAACAACAACAACAACAACACAUCUCGCACCACUACCGCACCAGACCAUGUCCACACUCACUCUCAUGACCAUUCAAGCAUGUUCGGCACAGGAAUGGACGAUGAUGACGAUGACCAUUCUCUGGAUUACUUUGCCAUGGAACUCUCCGGUCCAAGAUAGUAAGAACAACAAACCAGUACAAGCAAAAUUUUUUACCAAUUCUUUACAAGCCAGUACAUGUUUAAGCAAAAGAUAAGUUGAUUAUUAAGUUUUCUAGUUUCAUGGGGUUGCUGUAAUGUAAAUAUUGCUGUCAAUGUGGGGGUCAUGGUGAUGUAUAGUGGGGACAUUAUGAAGAUUCUCUGAUCCCAAGUCAGGGAGUCACAGAGAGAGGCAAUCUGGGGAAUUGAUUUCAGAAGGGUUUGGUUUUGACUGAAAUUUGGUCACGCGGUUGGAUUUUUGUUCCCGGUCUUCCAAUCCUUGCACAGGUUCUGCCAUCACUUUAACUGCUUUUCCUUUAUAAGCAAUGUUACCCAAAAGGUUUGGGAUCUCUGCUCUCAGCUCCCUGUAUCUUGUUUUCAUAUUUUUGUUUUCAAAUAUCUUAAAUCCAACAAUAUUACAAUAAAAUUAAGGCCACCCAGCUUUGAGUA